rnacentral:rRNA from 1 species
GACGAACGCUGGCGGCGUGCCUAAUACAUGCAAGUUGAGCGAUGAAGAUUGGUGCUUGCACCCAUUUGAAGAGCAGCGAACGGGUGAGUAACGCGUGGGGAAUCUGCCUUUGAGCGGGGGACAACAUUUGGAAACGAAUGCUAAUACCGCAUAACAACUUUAAACAUAAGUUUUAAGUUUGAAAGAUGCAAUUGCAUCACUCAAAGAUGAUCCCGCGUUGUAUUAGCUAGUUGGUGAGGUAAAGGCUCACCAAGGCGAUGAUACAUAGCCGACCUGAGAGGGUGAUCGGCCACAUUGGGACUGAGACACGGCCCAAACUCCUACGGGAGGCAGCAGUAGGGAAUCUUCGGCAAUAGACGAAAGUCUGACCGAGCAACGCCGCGUGAGUGAAGAAGGUUUUCGGAUCGUAAAACUCUGUUGGUAGAGAAGAACGUUGGUGAGAGUGGAAAGCUCAUCAAGUGACGGUAACUACCCAGAAAGGGACGGCUAACUACGUG